UUUUAUGUUAGUGGUGGAGAGAGGUUCCUGCUGCUUAGAGUAGUCACGCAGCACUACAGGCUAAAUGCUGCAAAUCUAUAGUGAUAUCAGGUCUAUUUUUAUUCUCUCAUUUAUAUGUUUCCUUUUUAUCUUAGCCAUAUAGGAUUUUUUUAUCCUUUAUCUUCCUCCUGUGGGUCCUGUUGUUGUUUUUUUUUUCUUUGUUUGUUUGUUUGAGACGGAGUCUCGCUCUGUCACCCAGGCUGGAGUG
rnacentral:lncRNA from 10 species